GAUGAACGCUGGCGGCGUGCCUAAUACAUGCAAGUCGAGCGAAUGGAUUAAGAGCUUGCUCUUAUGAAGUUAGCGGCGGACGGGUGAGUAACACGUGGGUAACCUGCCCAUAAGACUGGGAUAACUCCGGGAAACCGGGGCUAAUACCGGAUAACAUUUUGAACAGCAUGGUUCGAAAUUGAAAGGCGGCUUCGGCUGUCACAUAUGGCUGUACCCGCGUCGCAUUAGCUAGGUGGUGAGGUAACGGCUCACCAAGGCAACGAUGCGUAGCCGACCUGAGAGGGUGAUCGGCCACACUGGGACUGAGACACGGCCCAGACUCCUACGGGAGGCAGCAGUAGGGAAUCUUCCGCAAUGGACGAAAGUCUGACGGAGCAACGCCGCGUGAGUGAUGAAGGUUUUCGGAUCGUAAAACUCUGUUGUUAGUGAAGAACAAGUACUAGAGUAACUGCUAGUACCUUGACGGUACCUAACCAGAAAGCCACGGCUAACUACGUGCCAGCCGCCGCGGUAA
rnacentral:rRNA from 1 species